rnacentral:rRNA from 1 species
CCCACGCCACAGUGCCAGCUCGUCCUCCGGGAUGGUGGGGGACACUGUUGGGACCGCCUCUGCUAAAGAGGAGGAAGGGAAUGGGCAACGGUAGGUCAGCAUGCCCCGAAUUAUCUGGGCUACACGCGGGCUACAAUGGGUGGGACAAUGGGUAUCGACACCGAAAGGUGAAGGCAAUCUCCUAAACCCAUCCGUAGUUCGGAUUGUGGGCUGCAACUCGCCCACAUGAAGCUGGAAUCUGUAGUAAUCGUGUCUCAAAAUGGCACGGUGAAUAUGUCCCUGCUCCUU